GCAUUCUUAUUACACAGACUAUAACUCAGGAACUGCAAAUGAAAUAGGUGCUCUGUUAGUCAGCAACUUACUGCUCUGGCCAAAGCCUGACAAGAAACAGCUUCAAGGAGGGAAGUUUUACCUCAGCUCAUGAUCCGGGGAUACAGUCCACAGGUAUAUAAUUCUAUGGUGGAAGGUGGCCAGGACCCUAGAGAUGAUAUGAAAUCUCCACCAUCUGCAGCCCUUAGAAGUAGGGCGGUAUGCAUCAAAAGAAGUGUAAAACAGUCUUGGCUCUUGAGGAGAAAGUCAAGGUAAGCUUACACAGGGUUCAGAAGACUGUUGAGACGGAAGGGAUCAAAACUAUCCAUCACUUCCAGAAAUUCUAGUGUCCCUGUGAUACUGAGUUCCUGUCUUGGAGUUUCUGAUCGCAGGCUGUCAUAAGGGAAGCAUAAGAUGGAGUGAAUCCUUUUCUCCACACGCUUGGUUACGGUUGGUGUUUUAUCACAGCAACUGAGGAACAGCCUAGAACAACUGGCAAAGAGAAGACAUAGUGGUUCACAGUAGCUGGGAGAAUUAGCUUCCCAACUUUGCAUUCAGUGACUUCUUGCUGGCAACCUGGAAUUGGUCCUAGUGGGUAGGAGUAUUAGCACCACGAGAAGUGAAGACGUGGCAGACGUUUUAAAGUGGUAAGUGAUAUUUUGCAUACCCUUCGGAGAGUCAGUUGUUAACACUUGUCUGUAAAACCCUUUUAAGAAACUAUGCCUUUCCCUGGUCAGAUGUAUAGCUGGCAAAUAAUAUUUUCCCAUUCUAUUAGGCUGCUGCUUCAGUUGAUUUACAGUUUCCUUUUCAGUACAGAAACAAAAUGGAUGUAGUGUCAAGCUGCCCUCUAAGUUUGUAUCUCUGUUUCCACAGAUGAGUGUCGCUCUCAGAACUCAGAGCUAUUUAUGUGUGCAACGGAUGGUAGUUAACACAGAAACUCACAAGAGGUCAAAGUAUAGACAAUGCGUGGAGUGCUCAGUCCCAAACACAGUACCUGUACUAUUUCCCCAACCUUCCGAUGAGAGAUCAUAUUAGAUAAUGGGGCGGGAAGAUUUUACAAAGCAAAGCUCAUGGAGGACCAGAGUGAAACUGUCUAAUGGACAUGGUGGGACCCCUGCAUUGAGACGACAUGGAAAAGGUGGAAAGGUCACCAUAUACAAUGUAAGGUGAAAGCUUUCACCAGGAACCAAAACAGCUGACAUACUGAUCUUAGACUUCCCAGAAUCCAAACUCUGAAGUAAAUUUGUUGUUUAAGGGCCUAACCCAGGAUUUAGGACUACCACGCUGAAGAUUGGGCUUCUAGUACUUGAUUCUAUCUACUGUGGAGGUGGAGAUGGCAGACAGAGAGACUGUAGGCCCUAAAAGCAUGGAUGCAAACAAUGAGAACAGCUUCUCGGAUGCUCAUGGCUCAAUGUGCUUCCUACCAACUCCUCCAGCAGUGUGAAAGACAGGUAUAUGAAAACACGACCACGCUGUCCUGUUGGUCCCAGUCUGGUCAUUACUCACUUCUGUUACAACAAGGGUGUGAGAGUUUGCAAGGCCAUCCCACAUUUUAACUGAUUUUGCUACAUGUUUCCUGUGCUUGGUCAUGUACUCUGUUAAGACUGCUUUGAAAGAACGUUACAUCUCAGGGAUGGAGUCGUAAUCCAUCAGCAGUAAUGGUUCUGCAGUAGAGAACUUGUAAUGUCCUUGGAGAGGGUUCAGUUCGCUUCUCAGAACCCACCUCAAAACUUCUUGUAACUCUGACUCCAAGGGACCCAAAACCCUUUCCUAUGUUCCAUAGGUUCUUGCACCUCAUACGUAUUUACACAAAUACAUAAUUAAAAUAAAAGAAAUUAAAAAAA